GAUGAACGCUAGCGGCAGGCCUAACACAUGCAAGUCGAGGGAGAGGUUACCUUCGGGUAACCAAAACCGGCGCACGGGUGCGUAACGCGUAUACAAUCUGCCUUUCACAUAGGGAUAGCCCGAAGAAAUUUGGAUUAAUACCUAAUGGUAUACAAGAGCGGCAUCGUUUUUAUAUUAAAGCUACGGUGGUGAAAGAUGAGUAUGCGUUCUAUUAGCUAGUUGGAGAGGUAACGGCUCCCCAAGGCGACGAUAGAUAGGGGUUCUGAGAGGGAUGUCCCCCACACUGGUACUGAGAUACGGACCAGACUCCUACGGGAGGCAGCAGUGAGGAAUAUUGGACAAUGGUCGGAAGACUGAUCCAGCCAUGCCGCGUGCAGGAUGAAGGUCCUAUGGAUUGUAAACUGCUUUUGUAAGGGAAGAAUAAGGAGUACGUGUACUUUGAUGACGGUACCUUACGAAUAAGCAUCGGCUAACUCCGUGCCAGCAGCCGCGGUAAUACGGAGGAUGCGAGCGUUAUCCGGAAUCAUUGGGUUUAAAGGGUCCGUAGGCGGGCUGAUAAGUCAGAGGUGAAAGCGCUUAGCUCAACUAAGCAACUGCCUUUGAAACUGUCAGUCUUGAAUGAUUGUGAAGUAGUUGGAAUGUGUAGUGUAGCGGUGAAAUGCUUAGAUAUUACACAGAACACCGAUAGCGAAGGCAUAUUACUAACAAUUUAUUGACGCUGAUGGACGAAAGCGUGGGGAGCGAACAGG
rnacentral:rRNA from 1 species